rnacentral:rRNA from 1 species
GAUGAACGCUGGCGGCGUGCCUAAUACAUGCAAGUCGAGCGAACGGACGAGAAGCUUGCUUCUCUGAUGUUAGCGGCGGACGGGUGAGUAACACGUGGAUAACCUACCUAUAAGACUGGGAUAACUUCGGGAAACCGGAGCUAAUACCGGAUGAUAUUUUGAACCGCAUGGUUCAAAAGUGAAAGACGGUCUUGCUGUCACUUAUAGAUGGAUCCGCGCUGCAUUAGCUAGUUGGUAAGGUAACGGCUUACCAAGGCAACGAUGCAUAGCCGACCUGAGAGGGUGAUCGGCCACACUGGAACUGAGACACGGUCCAGACUCCUACGGGAGGCAGCAGUAGGGAAUCUUCCGCAAUGGGCGGAAGCCUGACGGAGCAACGCCGCGUGAGUGAUGAAGGUCUUCGGAUCGUAAAACUCUGUUAUUAGGGAAGAACAUAUGUGUAAGUAACUGUGCACAUCUUGACGGUACCUAAUCAGAAAGCCACGGCUAACUACGUG